GCAUUCUUAGAAGCGUCAUUGAAUGAGUAGCUUAACCUUGGCACUCUAUAAGAGCGUCAUCUUCUGUUUCCCCUUAUAAGUACACAUAAUCCUGCAAUCUCCACUUUAACCUCAUAGUUCUUGCACCCGAUGCGCAAUACUCACACUCACCUCCAACAAAUCAACAAGAGUUCGUUCUAAAGCCAGAUGAUUUCUGUCAACACCCACGAGUUGCCAAAACACUCCUAGCAAUAUUGGGUUUCCAAUAUUCUCUUGUUGAGGGAGAUUUCAAAAAAUCGUGAUGUUGAAACCUAGCCCUAAUGGACAUUUGUUGUGCAUAACCAUGGUAUAUCUUUUUAUCUCUCUCGAAAUUAGCUUUUCCACUAUUUGCAUGAUGGCCUUUGAUUCUCUUAUACCAUUUUAGGGAUUCAAUUUCUUUUAUUUUAGGGCUUUAAUUUCUUCCUUACACCAUUCUUACAGAUUUCAAUUUCUCAGUUGGAAUUACCUGUUGUAGAGUGUACUCACCAUUCCUCUGUGAAAGUGCAUUCAAAUUUUUGGUAGACCCGUGCCUCUGGGCCCCAUUCCCGUUGUCUACAGCCUCUCCAUGGCCUUGAUUUCAGCCGUUGUCUUCACCAGGACAUUUUUCUCCACCAUCGCUGAAAUCCGGGACACCCGGUGGUUCUGACAAAGGUCCAAGACCCCAUUACAAUGGCUGUUAUGCUUCCUUCUGGGGACACGGCCAUCGGGGCGACCAGAAAUCAACGUGGACUAAUAAGAAUUUUCCACCAGACAGCCACUGCAUCUGAGUUCAUUUCAGUCACGCAAGCUAUUUUAUUUGUUGGGAAACAACUUUAGCGACUUCACAUUGAAGAGAAAGAUGUUGAUGAGAAGGGGCAAUCAAGGAGUGUGCACUCUGUUUUGUUAAGAAAGUUGAUUUUGACAGCUUCAUCAUUUGGUAUAAUUGGGAAUGCUGCAAAACUAUUGUCCACCCUAAACAAAGAAGCAGCUGAUAAAGGGGAUUUACCUAACUUAUUCAUUAUUUCAAGUGGCCAAUUCCCAAAGGUAUCAAUACCUUCAUAUAUUCCAUUUUGGGGAGAUGUGAUAGUAAAGAAGCUGGUACCUAUGUCUCUAGUGAUUGAUAUAAUCAUUGAAAAGGAUGCAAAGGAAACUGGUUUGCCAAAAGAAGAGAACCCAAUCUGUUAAAGGAGGUGAUGUCGAUUGAAAACCACCAUAAAGAUUGCAUCAUUAGUCAUUUGAAGGUUGAACAAUAUUUUUUUGUCGAAUAUAAAUCUUAAUAAUUGUUGCAGUAAUAUUUAUACUCUUGUUGAAAGAAUUAGAAAUUGUUGUUCGAAAUAUUUUGAUGUAAUUUACAAAUUUGUAUGCAA